UACGUAGGGUGCAAGCGUUAUCCGGAUUCACUGGGUUUAAAGGGUGCGUAGGUGGGUUGGUAAGUCAGUGGUGAAAUCUCCGAGCUUAACUUGGAAACUGCCAUUGAUACUAUAGGUCUUGAAUUUUCUGGAGGUCAGCGGAAUAUGUCAUGUAGCGGUGAAAUGCUUAGAUAUGACAUAGAACACCAAUUGCGAAGGCAGCUGGCUACAGGGAUAUUGACACUGAGGCACGAAAGCGUGGGGAUCAAACAGG
rnacentral:rRNA from 1 species